GACGAACGCUGGCGGCGUGCCUAAUACAUGCAAGUAGAACGCACAGUUUAUACCGUAGCUUGCUACACCAUAGACUGUGAGUUGCGAACGGGUGAGUAACGCGUAGGUAACCUGCCUGGUAGCGGGGGAUAACUAUUGGAAACGAUAGCUAAUACCGCAUAAUAUUGAUUAUUGCAUGAUAAUUGAUUGAAAGAUGCUAUUGCAUCACUACCAGAUGGACCUGCGUUGUAUUAGCUAGUAGGUGAGGUAACGGCUCACCUAGGCGACGAUACAUAGCCGACCUGAGAGGGUGAUCGGCCACACUGGGACUGAGACACGGCCCAGACUCCUACGGGAGGCAGCAGUAGGGAAUCUUCGGCAUUGGACGAAAGUCUGAACGAGCAACGCCGCGUGAGUGAAGAAGGUUUUCGGAUCGUAAAGCUCUGUUGUAAGAGAAGAACGGGUGUGAGAGUGGAAAGUUCACACUGUGACGGUAGCUUACCAGAAAGGGACGGCUAACUACGUG
rnacentral:rRNA from 1 species